ensembl:snRNA U2 U2 spliceosomal RNA
AUUGCUUCUCGGCCUUUUGGCUAAGAUCAAGUGUAGUACCUCAGCAUGUUUAACUUCAGACUGUGUCCAGAGACGUCAGGUGCGGAAUUUCAACCCUCCAGCUUCAUUACUCUGGUGAGAACUUUC